UGCAUAUAUGGAUAAAUAUCAGUAAGUUUUUUCCCUUUUUUUGGAGCGUUCACGAGCAAAGAUUUUUGUCGUGUCAUUUUUAAGGGCUAAAAAGCCUUUAUCCAAAAUCAGUAAACUGAAUCGUUCGUAAAAAAAUAACUGAAUUUUGCUGGAAUUACCAGUAUUGCAAACAACAUCAUAUUUUUUUUUUCUUUUUAUUAUGUGCGAGUACUGCACUUUUCUAUAGCAGCACUGAUAUAUACAUGCAAGUGCCUAAAAUGUGAUGCUGUUGAAUCAUGUAUGUUCUAUUAACUGUGAGUAUUGAAAGUGAUGCUCUCACUUCAUAUAGCAAUUAUUUGCUCAUUCUUACUUGAAUUAGAACACCACGGCAGUUCUUUCUAUUAAGUCGGAGAUAAAACAUUCUCUCUUUUUUACACGAGCCAAACAAAUCAUUUGACCCCGUUGCAACUGGAAAGCCUGCUAACUGAUGAACUAACAACACGAUAUUGGCUGGUAAUUUCCUUUACAUGCUCCUUUUCUCCUUGUUCUGUCACCAGCAACGGUUGCCUCCUGCUUGGAACCUUUUUUCAUUUGUGCAGAACUUCCAAUAAAUUAACAAGGAUAAGUUCCUGGUUGUCUUUUUUGUUCUGUCUUGGUCAGAUUUUAGUUCCAACUUUAUUAACUUUCCUGGUGUGGAUUAUGGU
rnacentral:lncRNA from 1 species